GAAGACAGCGCGCUAGCGUAUCUAGUAUUCUAUGUAUCUUUCUGAUAGCAUCUCUGGCUGCUGUUGAUCUUGUUUUCGGAGUAAAACACGGUGGAAGCUGAAUUAGUGAGGAUGACUCCUGCUCCUGUCAUCUCUAAGCUCCUCACACAUCUUUACCUGCACAUGAGGAAAAUCACUCCUGUAGAAUGCAGAUGUUCAGAGGGAGAUGAUGCCACAUCUGGUCCAGCUGAUGGAAGGUCUUGAAGUUCUCUGACUGGCCUCGACUGAAGAUGGUCGUCUCACUGGAUUUAAGAUGCACAAUGAGGGACGUCUGCAGAGACUGAGAAAGAGUCUCACCACAUCCUGACAUGAGGAAAAAGACUUUAUUGAAGACUACAAUGAGAAAAACCAUCAGACGGCAUGCAUUCAAGUCUGUAGCUGCUGAAUUCAUGGAUGAAUCAUCUGGCACUAGAGAAGAAGACCAUCAAACAUCCACGUCAGCUGAUGGAGGUCCAAGAGUCUCACCGAACAACCAACCUACAGAGUGAAGACCUCAAAUCUGAUUGGACGGCCUCCUAUUCAGCCACGCUACAGGAGGAGUCCUACGAGGACGAGCCGGUCCACCUGAUGGAGGCCAGUCACUGCGGUUCAAAG
ensembl:lncRNA